rnacentral:rRNA from 1 species
ACUGCCGGUGACAAACCGGAGGAAGGUGGGGAUGACGUCAAAUCAUCAUGCCCCUUAUGAUUUGGGCUACACACGUGCUACAAUGGACAAUACAAAGGGCAGCGAAACCGCGAGGUCAAGCAAAUCCCAUAAAGUUGUUCUCAGUUCGGAUUGUAGUCUGCAACUCGACUACAUGAAGCUGGAAUCGCUAGUAAUCGUAGAUCAGCAUGCUACGGUGAAUACGUUCCCGGGUCUUGUACACACCGCCCGUCACACCACGAGAGUUUGUAACACCCGAAGCCGGUGGAGUAACCAUUUUGGAGCUAGCCGUCGAAGGUGGGACAAAUGAUUGGGGUGAAGUCGUAACAAGGUAGCCGUAUCGGAAGGUGCGGCUGGAUCACCUCCUUU